ACUUCCCGCUAGGCGGGAGGUUCCCAACAGUUUAUAGCGUUGCGUGUAUGAUAAAAACUCCUUUUGCUUUGUCGGCAAGGUGUUGCGGUCUGGCAACUGCAAGACGACAAAUCAAAA
rnacentral:sRNA from 1 species